rnacentral:snRNA from 1 species
GUGCUCGCUUCAGCAGCACAUACACUAAAAUUGGAAGGGCACUCAGAGAAGAUUAAGCAUGGCCCCUGCUAAGCGCUCCAUAUUGACCGGCAAAAAAAAAAA